rnacentral:snRNA from 1 species
GUACUUGCUUCAGCAGCACAUACACAAAAAAAUUGGACAGAUACAGAGAAGAUUAGCAUGGCCCCUGUGCAAAAUUAACAUGCAAAUUCAUGACACUUUCCAUAUUUUU